UGCCUGAUGGAGGGGGAUAACUACUGGAAACGGUAGCUAAUACCGCAUAACGUCGCAAGACCAAAGAGGGGGACCUUCGGGCCUCUUGCCAUCGGAUGUGCCCAGAUGGGAUUAGCUUGUUGGUGGGGUAACGGCUCACCUAGGCGACGAUCCCUAGCUGGUCUGAGAGGAUGACCAGCCACACUGGAACUGAGACACGGUCCAGACUCCUACGGGAGGCAGCAGUGGGGAAUAUUGCACAAUGGGCGCAAGCCUGAUGCAGCCAUGCCGCGUGUAUGAAGAAGGCCUUCGGGUUGUAAAGUACUUUCAGCGGGGAGGAAGGGAGUAAAGUUAAUACCUUUGCUCAUUGACGUUACCCGCAGAAGAAGCACCGGCUAACUCCGUGCCAGCAGCCGCGGUAAUACGGAGGGUGCAAGCGUUAAUCGGAAUUACUGGGCGUAAAGCGCACGCAGGCGGUUUGUUAAGUCAGAUGUGAAAUCCCCGGGCUCA
rnacentral:rRNA from 1 species